UUAAAAAUAUUGAGGAAGACUGCACUAUAGAAACUGUCACAGAGAGUCGGGGAUGCUGAAAACCGAUACAACCCUCUAUAGCUGCUUAUCACUUCUGAAUUUCAUUACCGAACGGCAAGCUCACUAAGUAAUGACGCAUACCAGCGUUAAAGGGUUAGGGUUUACUAGAACCUGAUGAGGCAGAUUCUGUGAGGAAUCCGCAAAAGUAAAGUGGUACCGUGCUAAAGCACCUUUAUU
rnacentral:ncRNA from 1 species